ACAAGAGGAAUCAGCCAAUGACCAACUGUGUCAAAAAGAGGAAUCAGCCAAUGAACAACUGUGUCAACAGGAGGAAUCAGCCAGUUGGUUCCAUCCUUUUAACAAUAUUAAAAUGCCUUGAUGCUAAUGAUGAUGUUCAUGCUGGAAUGUGUUUUGUCACGUCCUCUGUCCUCCUUACGUCCUGUAGAAUGCCUGGUUGCGCUUCUCUGAGGCCUUUUCUCAAUUGGAUGUUCCUUGUCCUGUUUCCUUUGUUUUCCUUCGUUUCUCCAUUGGCUAAGAAAGACAGAUGUCCCACCCCUCUUAGCUUUGAAAAGGAUGAGAGAAGGAGAUGGGCUGGAGGCUUGUCUUUUCUAGGUCACAGGCGGAGGCGGGGCUGAGCACACACUCCCCUAUCCUGUCAGCUCUAAUCUACUCAGCACACUCUGAUUACAGCCCAAACAAUCAGACAGGGAGGGGGACAGACACAGAGGAAAAGCCAAUGAGAGAGGGACAGGGAGAGAGCAAAAGAGGGACAGG